rnacentral:rRNA from 1 species
AAGCCCCAGUAAACGGCGGCCGUAACUAUAACGGUCCUAAGGUAGCGAAAUUCCUUGUCGGGUAAGUUCCGACCCGCACGAAAGGCGUAACGAUUUGGGCACUGUCUCAACAACAGACUCGGUGAAAUUGUAAUUCCGGUGAAGAUGCCGGAUACCUGCGACAGGACGGAAAGACCCCAUGGAGCUUUACUGUAGCUUGACAUUGGGUCUUGGUACUACAUGUACAGGAUAGGUGGGAGGCUUUGAAACCAGGACGCCAGUUUUGGCGGAGCCAUCCUUGGGAUACCACCCUUGUAGUACUGGGACUCUAACCAUAGGCCAUGAAUCUGGUCUUGGGACACUGUCAGGUGGGCAGUUUGACUGGGGCGGUCGCCUCCCAAAAGGUAACGGAGGCGCUCAAAGGUUCUCUCAGUACGGUCGGAAAUCGUACGUAGAGUGUAAAGGCAAAAGAGAGCUUGAUUGCAAGACAUACAGGUCGAGCAAGGAUGAAAAUCGGACUUAGUGAUCCGGUGGUUCUGCGUGGAAGGGCCAUCGCUCAACGGAUAAAAGCUACCCUGGGGAUAACAGGCUUAUCUCCCCCAAGAGUCCACAUCGACGGGGAGGUUUGGCACCUCGAUGUCGGCUCAUCACAUCCUGGGGCUGUAGUAGGUCCCAAGGGUUGGGCUGUUCGCCCAUUAAAGUGGUACGCGAGCUGGGUUCAGAACGUCGUGAGACAGUUCGGUCCCUAUCCGUCGCAGGCGUAGGAAAUUUGAGAAGACCUGUCCUUAGUACGAGAGGACCGGGAUGGACGUACCUCUGGUGUACCAGUUGUUCUGCCAAGGGCAUGGCUGGGUAGCUAUGUACGGAAUGGAUAAGCGCUGAAAGCAUCUAAGCGCGAAGCCAACUUCAAGAUAAGAUUUCCCACCGCAAGGGUAAGACCCCAGAAAGACUAUCUGGUUGAUAGGUCGAAGGUGUAAGUGCAGCAAUGUAUUUAGCUUAUCGAUACUAAUAGGUCGAGGACUUGACCAAAUU